UGGAGCUGGAGCUGGAGUGCAGCAGUCUGCAGGAGAGAAGUCCUCAAGUGUUUGCUUUUGAUUGCUCUGCAAAUACUUUGCCAAGGAUGCUGAUUCUACACAAGAGGCCUCCCUUUGGACAAUUAAUAGAUCCCCAAAUACAUGGAUUUCAGUUCUCUUCCUCUUCCGCUUCUUCCAGAAGACCAUCUUCUUUUUGAGCGUUGCUGCAGGAAAGACUUACUGCAACUGGAAGCACAAAGGCUGUAAACGCCAGACUGACUUUGAACUUGGAUAUUCAGCUCGGUGUUGCAAGCCAGAGUGGGACAGAACUUAUGAUCCAGAGAGGGAGUGGGAAUGGUGCUCCGAUAUCAGUGGCACCUUGAAGAUGGAGGAGGAGAAGGAAGGCCCCGUUGUGCUGGAUACCGUCCAACUGUAUAGUAAUAGAAAGUUCCUUCUCAAUGGAGUAUACAUAAGGGCAAACAAGCCUGGGAGGGGAAAGGUCCUUGAAAGGAAAAGUGACUUGGCCAAAGUCAUAUAACAAUAAAUGCAGAUCACA